CAUUUUUCUGCAAAGGAAUAUAUUGACCCCACAGGUUUCACCUGACGCCAAAGAAUCCAUGACACAAAAAAGGAUGAUUAUGAUGCAAUAUUGCUGUGACCAAGUACAAUAUUCUCUUGGUUCUCUUCACUUCACUUUGCAUCAGUUCAGAUGAAGAACCUGAGGCCCAAGGAAAUUAAGUAAUUUGCCUAAGAUCACAGAACUAUGAAGCAUCAGAGAUAAGACAUCAGCCCAGAGCUUCUGUGCCUAAGCUGAAAUAAAUGGGAAAACAUCCAGCCAAAAAAAUGUGCCCCCCAAUGCAAUAAAGGAACUGAAGUUCAGAUGAAAAAACCGCAUCAGCUCUAAACCUUUAUAAUUACCUAUGAAUUUGUCAGUCUAUUUUGUUUCAUCUUUCAUUAAUAAUUCAAUCAAAUCUAAAAACUAUUUAUGAAGGAA